rnacentral:rRNA from 1 species
ACCACCCCCGAAGGCUAAGUACUCCUUGCUGACCGAUAGCGAACCAGUACCGUGAGGGAAAGGUGAAAAGCACCCCGACGAGGGGAGUGAAACAGUACCUGAAACCGGACGCCUACAAGCAGUCGGAGGGGCCUUGAGCCCUGACGGCGUACCUUUUGUAUAAUGGGUCAACGACUUGGUCUUACGAGCGAGCUUAAGCCGAUAGGUGUAGGCGCAGCGAAAGCGAGUCUUAAAAGGGCGCAUGAGUUCGUGGGAUCAGACCCGAAACCAGGUGAUCUAGCCAUGAGCAGGAUGAAGGUUGGGUAACACCAACUGGAGGUCCGAACCAACACCCGUUGAAAAGGGUCUGGAUGACUUGUGGCUAGGGGUGAAAGGCUAAUCAAAACCUGGAGAUAGCUGGUUCUCCGCGAAAGCUAUUUAGGUAGCGCCUCGGACGAAUACCAUCGGGGGUAGAGCACUGCAUGGAUGAUGGGGGCCCACAGCCUUACUGAGUCUAAGCAAACUCCGAAUACCGAUGAGUACUAUCCGGGAGACACACGGC